GAGUUUGAUCGUGGCUCAGAUUGAACGCUGGCGGCAGGCCUAACACAUGCAAGUCGAGCGGUAGAGAGAAGCUUGCUUCUCUUGAGAGCGGCGGACGGGUGAGUAAUGCCUAGGAAUCUGCCUGGUAGUGGGGGAUAACGCUCGGAAACGGACGCUAAUACCGCAUACGUCCUACGGGAGAAAGCAGGGGACCUUCGGGCCUUGCGCUAUCAGAUGAGCCUAGGUCGGAUUAGCUAGUUGGUGAGGUAAUGGCUCACCAAGGCGACGAUCCGUAACUGGUCUGAGAGGAUGAUCAGUCACACUGGAACUGAGACACGGUCCAGACUCCUACGGGAGGCAGCAGUGGGGAAUAUUGGACAAUGGGCGAAAGCCUGAUCCAGCCAUGCCGCGUGUGUGAAGAAGGUCUUCGGAUUGUAAAGCACUUUAAGUUGGGAGGAAGGGCAGUAAAUUAAUACUUUGCUGUUUUGACGUUACCGACAGAAUAAGCACCGGCUAACUCUGUGCCAGCCGCCG
rnacentral:rRNA from 1 species